rnacentral:lncRNA from 1 species
GCUUUAUUGUCAACGAAAAGAAUGUUGUCAAUGCACUCGAGUUUGUGAGUGCAACUCCUGAUAAUUUGGAGCUAGAUGAAACUAGACCGGCGGAAGUUACAGAGGAAACAGCCAAUGAUGCUAGGCAGCUCCAAAAACUGAAGAGUGAUUUGAGGACUAUGCGAAACCCAAAGAAAAGAAGAGAAAACGCUCCAAAGACAAAAAGCACAAG